UCUUCUGUGGUGUAGUUGGUAGCGCUUUGGUACGGUAAUUUUAUUUCCUAGGUUCGAGUCCAAGUAGGGGAA